UACGUAGGGGGCAAGCGUUGCCCGGAUUUAUUGGGCGUAAAGAGCGUGUAGGCGGCCAGAUAGGUCAGCUGUGAAAACUCGAGGCUCAACCUCGAGAUGUCGGCUGAAACCAUCUGGCUAGAGUCCGGAAGAGGAGAAUGGAAUUCCCGGUGUAGCGGUGAAAUGCGCAGAUAUCGGGAAGAACACCCGUGGCGAAGGCGGUUCUCUGGGACGGUACUGACGCUGAGACGCGAAAGCGUGGGGAGCGAACAGG
rnacentral:rRNA from 1 species